rnacentral:rRNA from 1 species
AGUCAGAGCCCGUUAAUGGGUGAUGGCGUGCCUUUUGUAGAAUGAACCGGCGAGUUACGAUUUGAUGCAAGGUUAAGCAGUAAAUGUGGAGCCGUAGCGAAAGCGAGUCUGAAUAGGGCGUUUAGUAUUUGGUCGUAGACCCGAAACCAGGUGAUCUACCCUUGGUCAGGUUGAAGUUCAGGUAACACUGAAUGGAGGACCGAACCGACUUACGUUGAAAAGUGAGCGGAUGAACUGAGGGUAGCGGAGAAAUUCCAAUCGAACCUGGAGAUAGCUGGUUCUCUCCGAAAUAGCUUUAGGGCUAGCCUCAAGUGAUGAUUAUUGGAGGUAGAGCACUGUUUGGACGAGGGGCCCCUCUCGGGUUACCGAAUUCAGACAAACUCCGAAUGCCAAUUAAUUUAACUUGGGAGUCAGAACAUGGGUGAUAAGGUCCGUGUUCGAAAGGGAAACAGCCCAGACCACCAGCUAAGGUCCCAAAAUAUAUGUUAAGUGGAAAAGGAUGUGGCGUUGCCCAGACAACUAGGAUGUUGGCUUAGAAGCAGCCAUCAUUUAAAGAGUGCGUAAUAGCUCACUAGUCGAGUGACACUGCGCCGAAAAUGUACCGGGGCUAAACAUAUUACCGAAGCUGUGGAUUGUCCUUUGGACAAUGGUAGGAGAGCGUUCUAAGGGCGUUGAAGCAUGAUCGUAAGGACAUGUGGAGCGCUUAGAAGUGAGAAUGCCGGUGUGAGU